rnacentral:rRNA from 1 species
UACGGGGGGGGCAAGCGUUGUUCGGAAUUACUGGGCGUAAAGGGCGCGUAGGCGGCAAUUCAAGUCAUCUGUGAAAUCUCCGAGCUUAACUCGGAACGGUCAGAUGAUACUGCUUUGCUAGAGUGCAGAAGGGGCAACCGGAAUUCUUGGUGUAGCGGUGAAAUGCGUAGAUAUCAGGAGGAACACCGGUGGCGAAGGCGGAUCUCUGGGCCGAUACUGACGCUGAGGAGCGAAAGCGUGGGGAGCGAACAGG